UGCUAACACCCAGCUUUCUAUGUGGG
rnacentral:piRNA from 1 species